rnacentral:rRNA from 1 species
AGCAAAGAGGAUACACCUGUUCCCAUUCCGAACACAGAAGUUAAGCUCUUUAGCGCCGAUGGUACUUGGUGGGAAGCUGCCUGGGAGAGUAGGACGUAGCCGCGU